GCCGAGACGGCCUCUUCCCUCAGCGGUGACCUCAGUGCAGUGCCUGCCAGUUUCCCGAAGCCAUCGACAUCCUCUUUCAUUAGCAAAACCACUCCUGAAGAACCCUUCUGCACCCUGGGAGUGCGGCGUGGCCACGAGGGUUGGUGUCCCACCCCAAAUUACCGGCACACGGCAUGCUGCAAGAGAUGGGUUGAAGGAGGCCGAGAGGCGGUGAUGCUCUGCGCCAUCCACGGCCAUCCGGCUGCGCUGUGCCCCUCCUGCUGGUGGGAUUCACCUCCUGGCAAAGCGCCGCUGGGUCUGUCGGGUCCCCCCACCCAUCUGCGGGGCUCAGAGCUCCGCCGUGUCCCACUGAUGGCACCUCGAGUGGUGACACCACCCCACCCCAAGGCUUUGGGACGGGACCAACCCUGACCCUGUGUGGAUCCAUUCCUCUCCCCGGGCUGUUGUGAGCAGCCCCCGGAGCGGAGCAGAGCAGAGC
ensembl:lncRNA